rnacentral:rRNA from 1 species
GACGACAAGACCCUAAAAGCUUAAUUAUAAAAAAUUAUUUAAUUAACUAAACAAUAAUUUUACUGGGGUAGUACCUUUACUAAAAUUGAAGGUUAUUCACAUAAAAAUGUAAUUAGAUCCUUUCCAUAAAGAUAAAAUAAUAAAGUUACUCUAGGGAUAACAGCACAAUAGCACCAGAGAGUUCGUAUCUAGGGAUCUGAUUGUGACCUCGAUGUUGAAUUAGAUUUUCUUAUUAGAGCAACCCCUAAUUAAGAGGGUUUGUUCAACCUUUAAAUAUCUACAUGAUCUGAGU